GAUGUGGCUGAUUCUGGGCCCAAAUGGGCCGGGGUGUUGCAGUGACAUUGGAAGAUAUAAAUGCUUUAAGGGAGCAAUCUCCUCGUGCCGAUGAGAAUACAUAAUUUUAGUGGGUUUGGAAACUGGAUGUUCUUAUGAGAGUGAAAAUCUUUUGGAGGAGGUUGUUAUGGUGGAAGGAUUCUUUGUAAGGAACUCUUAUGUAGACGCAAAAUUCUUCUUUUAGAACAAC
rnacentral:lncRNA from 1 species